rnacentral:rRNA from 1 species
CCCUUAGAUGUUCUGGGCCGCACGCGUGCUACACUGAGUGGAUCAGCGGGUCAGGUUGCGCGAAAGCGUUUCCUAAUCUUUAAAUCCGCUCGUGAUGGGGAUUGACGGUUGCAAUUUUCUGUCAUGAACGAGGAAUAUCUUGUAAGCGCGGGUCAUCAUCCCGCGCUGAAUACGUCCCUGCCCUUUGUACACACCGCCCGUCGCUCCUACCGAUUGAAUGUUCCGGUGAGCUCUUCGGACUGCGCGGUCUGCAGUUUCUGCGUUCCGUGCGGAAAGUUGCGCAAACCUUAACAUUUAGAGGAAGGAGAAGUCGUAACA